GAUGAACGCUGGCGGCGUGCCUAAUACAUGCAAGUCGAGCGAACGGACGAGAAGCUUGCUUUUCUGAUGUUAGCGGCGGACGGGUGAGUAACACGUGGAUAACCUACCUAUAAGACUGGGAUAACUUCGGGAAACCGGAGCUAAUACCGGGUAAUAUUUUCAACGGCAUGGUUCAAAAGUGAAUGACGGUCUGGCUGUCACUUAUAGAUGGAUCCGCGUUGGAUUAGCGAGUUGGUAAGGUAACGGCUUACCAAGGCAACGAUGCAUAGCCGAGCUGAGAGUGUGAUCGGCCCCCCUGGAACUGAGACACCGUCCAGGCUCCUACGGGAGGCAGCAGUAGGGAAUAUUCCGCCAAGGGCGCAAGCCUGACGGAGCAACGCCGCGUGAGUGAUGAAGGUCUUCGGAUCGUAAAACUCUGUUAUUAGGGAAGAACAUAUGUGUAAGUAACUAUGCACAUCUUGACGGUACCUAAUCAGAAAGCCACGGCUAACUACGUG
rnacentral:rRNA from 1 species